CAGAGAGAAAGAAUACCAGAGUAAAAGGGGAGACACAGAAAGGAGCAGUGCGGAGAAAGGAGGAAAGUGAGAGGGGAGUGAGAAGGAAGAGAAGAGGGGAGAAAGAAAAGAGAACACGGAGCAGGAAGUGGGACCAGUGGGGGAAACCUGCUGAAUCGCCUAAAACCAGCUGGAGCAGGCUGAAGGACUCUCCGACGACCUCCUCCUGAACGGAUACCCUUGUUAUCAUACUUGAACAUGCCGAUGUAUGUAGAACCAUGUUUCCUGACUUUGAAUGCCCCGGACUGUCACCACCUAUACAUGCAAUUACAAAGUCUACUUCGAUGUUUAUGCAUGACUUCCCCUAAUAAAGAUGGCUUAGACACUUUGUUCAGGGACACAUGCUCUGGGAAUGAUCCUGGUGUGUCCUUGCUCGCUGGCUUGCAAUAAAGUUCCUUUUCUUAAAAUCA